AUUUUACAGAUGACACACUAAGGCGCAAGGCAGCUGCACAUCCACGGCCAGCCUCGUUGUCUUCAGGGAUUUGUUCAAAGUUCAUUCUGAAUUGUAAGGUAACCACUGCAGAACACGAGCCUUUCCUGGGUAUGUGUGGUUAUUUCUGCCCUUCACGGUCCCACUCAAGUCCUGCCUCCCUCAGGGAGACCUCCCAGACCUCACCAAGCCGUGGGCACGUGGACCAGAAGCCGUGGACCCCAGAGGCUCAUUUAGGGAUCUGCUUUCUGAACCCAGGUCCUAACAUCUGCACUGCAGCGAGCAUUUCUGGUGCCUCAAGUGAGUCACUCCAACUUCCAGCUCACUGAGAGGCGAUGGAGCACUGAGUGCCAGCAUCUUCCAGCACCAGAGGAGCUGACUCUGAAUAGACAGCUCGGCAGCGGCCUCAGCACAGAGCAGGGGAGCCACCAGCCACAGGCAGCCACUGAGCCCUUGGCAUGUAACCCGGUAACCCAUGCAACAGAAGACCUGAGCGUCCAGUGUUGCUAGCUUGAAGUAACUUCAGUGGUGUUCCCCAGCGUUUUUCUCAUCCCCCUCCCUUCCCUUCCCCUACAGCUUUCUUCCUCUUUCCCCUCCUUCUGAGUCUUUCGUCCCCAGUCCUGGGAACCUUUUUUCUGACUUGGUGUUUUCUCCUGAAUGCCUCCUUCCUGGCCCCCUAAUCAGAAAUGCAGAAGCCACCUGCCCCACACAGGGGGCCACUUUCCCUGCAUCUGGCACUCACCAGGACAGUCAUAGAACUGGCCUUGGGUGCUUGGGGAGAGUGGAGAGGUCUGGGGGGCAUCCACUGGCCUCAGCCUCAGAGCUUCUCAUCAGUAACCCAGGAGGCAAAGGCCCAGCUCAAGAUUAGCCCAGGCCACUGUAUCUGUGCCAAGACCUACAGCUGUCCCUGCAGGGCGUGCAUCUCUGCAGCCCAGGCUAUCACAAUGGUGUCCCUUUUGGUGGGGAUGUGAGGCCUGCUGCUGCCUGGGAAGAAGCUGACAGGAUUGUUGGUGCUGUGGGGAGAAGCUGGUGUAACUGAGACCCAUGAGGGAGGCCCUUUGUGGGUCUGUGGCUGGGAGGAGCUCUGGGGAAGAUGGGCCUUGAGAAAUCCCAGCUUAGCACCUUUGACAGUUGCUCCACUGAGUCACCCUAGACUGCAAUCUCACAGAUGUUCUAACCACCCUCUCCCUGGGGAGCCCUUGGGGGUGCUGCAAGCCCAGUCCUCACUCACUGGCUUUGUGCUUCUCUUCCCGACUUCCUUUUUUUGCUCCUGUUGAGAAAUGUGGGUCCAGGGCUGCGUGCUCCAGUGUGCGGAAGGAAGGGCAGCGUGCUCUUUGGACUGAGCUGGCUCAAGGGAAGCUGGGUCUGAGGGGAGACUGACCUCGACCCUUCUUAAAUGAAACACCUUUUCCCUGCGUCUCAGUCACCGUUACCUGGCCUGAUCACUGUGUGCCACACCCCAUCACAUCCAUCCCCACAAGAAUGCCAGGAGGAGGGGUCAUUGGCCUUUUUGUCAGCACAAACCUCUGGAGGCCCAGCUCCCAAGACCCGCCAGGCACACCUGCCAGAGUGCCUUAACUUGGGAUGUCUGCAAACCUCUGUCCAUGGCCGAACCCACCCCACUGCCUGUUACUGUAAAUAAAGGUCUAUUAGCAUGCCACCAUGCCCCUCCUCCGAUGCAUACAGUGCCCAGCUCAGCACCUGGUGCAAGUAAGCACAAUCUGGCUUCCAGCCAUCACUGCUGUUGCUACUAACACAAAUAUUAGGCCCCUUCUAGAAUGCAAAGAUAACCCAGGGCUGCUCGUUCUGUGUCCAGAUCACAGAGUUUUUCUUUUUAUCCUUAUCAACUUUAUUGAGGGAUAAUUUACAGGCAAUAAAUCAUAUCCAUUUAAA